rnacentral:rRNA from 1 species
UACGGAGGGUGCAAGCGUUAUCCGGAAUCACUGGGUUUAAAGGGCGCGUAGGCGGCCUGCUAAGUCGAACGUGAAAUCCCUGGGCUCAACCCAGGAACUGCGUCCGAUACUGGUUGGCUUGAAUCCGGGAGAGGGAUGCGGAAUUCCAGGUGUAGCGGUGAAAUGCGUAGAUAUCUGGAGGAACACCGGUGGCGAAAGCGGCUUACUGGGUCUCUUCUGACGCUGAGGAACGAAAGCUAGGGUAGCGAACGGG